rnacentral:rRNA from 1 species
GUCCACGCCAUAAACGAUGGAUGCUCGGUGUUUGGCGGGGAAACCUGCUGGGCACCUCAGCUGACGCGUAAGCAUCACGCCUGGGAACUACGAGCGCAAGCUUAAAACUCAAAGGAAUUGACGGGGCCCGCACAAGCAGCGGAGCGUGUGGUUUAAUUCGACGCAACCCGCAGCACCUUACCCAGACUUGACAUGGCACUGCACGCCACGGAAACGUGGUCGCCUUCGAGGGUGUGCCGCAGAUGCUGCAUGGCUGUAGU